rnacentral:rRNA from 1 species
AGAGUUUGAUCCUGGCUCAGGACGAACGCUGGCGGCGCGCCUAACACAUGCAAGUCGAACGAGCGAGAGAGAGCUUGCUUUCUCAAGCGAGUGGCGAACGGGUGAGUAACGCGUGAGGAACCUGCCUCAAAGAGGGGGACAACAGUUGGAAACGACUGCUAAUACCGCAUAAGCCCACAGCUCGGCAUCGAGCAGAGGGAAAAGGAGCAAUCCGCUUUGAGAUGGCCUCGCGUCCGAUUAGCUAGUUGGUGAGGUAAUGGCCCACCAAGGCGACGAUCGGUAGCCGGACUGAGAGGUUGAACGGCCACAUUGGGACUGAGACACGGCCCAGACUCCUACGGGAGGCAGCAGUGGGGAAUAUUGCACAAUGGGGGAAACCCUGAUGCAGCGACGCCGCGUGGAGGAAGAAGGUCUUCGGAUUGUAAACUCCUGUUGUUGAGGAAGAUAAUGACGGUACUCAACAAGGAAGUGACGGCUAACUACGUGCCAGCAGCCGCGGUAAAACGUAGGUCACAAGCGUUGUCCGGAAUUACUGGGUGUAAAGGGAGCGCAGGCGGGAAGACAAGUUGGAAGUGAAAUCUAUGGGCUCAACCCAUAAACUGCUUUCAAAACUGUUUUUCUUGAGUAGUGCAGAGGUAGGCGGAAUUCCCGGUGUAGCGGUGGAAUGCGUAGAUAUCGGGAGGAACACCAGUGGCGAAGGCGGCCUACUGGGCACCAACUGACGCUGAGGCUCGAAAGUGUGGGUAGCAAACAGGAUUAGAUACCCUGGUAGUCCACACCGUAAACGAUGAUUACUAGGUGUUGGAGGAUUGACCCCUUCAGUGCCGCAGUUAACACAAUAAGUAAUCCACCUGGGGAGUACGACCGCAAGGUUGAAACUCAAAGGAAUUGACGGGGGCCCGCACAAGCAGUGGAGUAUGUGGUUUAAUUCGACGCAACGCGAAGAACCUUACCAAGUCUUGACAUCCCUUGACGAUGCUGGAAACAGUAUUUCUCUUCGGAGCAAGGAGACAGGUGGUGCAUGGUUGUCGUCAGCUCGUGUCGUGAGAUGUUGGGUUAAGUCCCGCAACGAGCGCAACCCUUACUGUCAGUUACUACGCAAGAGGACUCUGGCAGGACUGCCGUUGACAAAACGGAGGAAGGUGGGGAUGACGUCAAAUCAUCAUGCCCUUUAUGACUUGGGCUACACACGUACUACAAUGGCGUUAAACAAAGAGAAGCAAGACCGCGAGGUGGAGCAAAACUCAGAAACAACGUCCCAGUUCGGACUGCAGGCUGCAACUCGCCUGCACGAAGUCGGAAUUGCUAGUAAUCGUGGAUCAGCAUGCCACGGUGAAUACGUUCCCGGGCCCCUUGUACACACCGCCCGUNNC